GACGAACGCUGGCGGCGUGCUUAACACAUGCAAGUCGAACGGAAAGGCCCUGCUUUUGUGGGGUGCUCGAGUGGCGAACGGGUGAGUAACACGUGAGUAACCUGCCCUUGACUUUGGGAUAACUUCAGGAAACUGGGGCUAAUACCGGAUAGGAGCCCCUGCUGCAUGGUGGGGGUUGGAAAGUUUCGGCGGUUGGGGAUGGACUCGCGGCUUAUCAGCUUGUUGGUGGGGUAGUGGCUUACCAAGGCUUUGACGGGUAGCCGGCCUGAGAGGGUGACCGGCCACAUUGGGACUGAGAUACGGCCCAGACUCCUACGGGAGGCAUCAGUGGGGAAUAUUGCACAGUGAGCGGAAGCCUGAUGCAGCAACGCCGCGUGCGGGAUGACGGCCUUCGGGUUGUAAACCGCUUUCGCCUGUGACGAAGCGUGAGUGACGGUAAUGGGUAAAGAAGCACCGGCUAACUACGUG
rnacentral:rRNA from 1 species